rnacentral:tRNA from 1 species
UGGCUCAGAGGUUAAAGCAUCUGCUUGCAAUGCAGGAGACCUGGGUUUGAUCCCUG